GGGGUGGUAGCUCAGUCGGUAGAGCAAUGGCCUUUUAAGCCAGUGGUCCUGGGUUCGAUCCCCAGCCACCCUAACA
rnacentral:tRNA from 1 species